rnacentral:rRNA from 1 species
CACGUAGGGCGCAAGCGUUGUCCGGAAUUAUUGGGCGUAAAGAGCGUGUAGGCGGCCAUGUAGGUCCGUUGUGAAAACUCGAGGCUCAACCUCGAGGCGCCGAUGGAAACCAUGUGGCUAGAGUCCGGAAGAGGAGAGUGGAAUUCCUGGUGUAGCGGUGAAAUGCGCAGAUAUCAGGAAGAACACCCGUGGCUAAGGCGGCUCUCUAGUACGGUACUGACGCUGAGACGCGAAAGCGUGGGGAGCGAACAGG